rnacentral:rRNA from 1 species
UACAGAGGUCUCGAGCGUUUGUUCGGAUUCAUUGGGCGUAAAGGGUGCGUAGGUGGCGCUGUAAGUCGGGUGUGAAAUCCUGAGGCUUAACCUCGGAACUGCAUUCGAUACUGCGGCGCUUGAGGACUGGAGAGGAGACUGGAAUUCAUGGUGUAGCAGUGAAAUGCGUAGAGAUCAUGAGGAAGACCAGUGGCGAAGGCGGGUCUCUGGACAGUUCCUGACACUGAGGCACGAAGGCCAGGGGAGCAAACGGGG